ACGCCGAUGGUGAAACGGUUAUCAUGCUUGCCUUCCAUGAGAUUAGCAAGCGGUAGGGGUUCGACUCCCCUUCGGCGUA